ACGAAACAAUGGCGGUGGCUGCGGCAGACAGGCUGAUCCACCAUGGAUAGAUCUUCGAGGUAACAGGAGAGAACUACAAAAAGAAAACGUCAAAAGCGGCAAUACAACAGUCAGUUGAAUAGUAGCAUCAGAGCGGUCAGAGUAGUUGACGCGUACCGGCCAAGGUAGUUGACGUCUAAUACGCGUCUGCGUGAGCUGAAUAUGGGCGUGCUGGAACAGCACCGGCUGAAUUCACUCAGAGCUGAGGAAGAGGGCU
rnacentral:rRNA from 1 species